UGCAGUCGAACGCUGAAGCCGACAGCUUGCUGUUGGUGGAUGAGUGGCGAACGGGUGAGUAACACGUGAGUAACCUGCCCCUGAUUUCGGGAUAAGCCUGGGAAACUGGGUCUAAUACCGGAUAUGACCACUCCUUGCAUGAGGGUUGGUGGAAAGUUUUUCGAUCGGGGAUGGGCUCGCGGCCUAUCAGCUUGUUGGUGGGGUAAUGGCCUACCAAGGCGACAACGGGUAGCCGGCCUGAGAGGGCGACCGGCCACACUGGGACUGAGACACGGCCCAGACUCCUACGGGAGGCAGCAGUGGGGAAUAUUGCACAAUGGGGGAAACCCUGAUGCAGCGACGCAGCGUGCGGGAUGACGGCCUUCGGGUUGUAAACCGCUUUCAGCAGGGAAGAAGCGAAAGUGACGGUACCUGCACAAAAAGUACCGGCUAACUACGUGCCAGCAGCCGCGGUAAUACGUAGGGUACGAGCGUUGUCCGGAAUUAUUGGGCGUAAAGAGCUCGUAGGUGGUUGGUCACGUCUGCUGUGGAAACGCAACGCUUAACGUUGCGCGUGCAGUGGGUACGGGCUGACUAGAGUGCAUUAGGGGAGUCUGGAAUUCCUGGUGUAGCGGUGAAAUGCGCAGAUAUCAGGAGGAACACCGGUGGCGAAGGCGGGACUCUGGGCUGUAACUGACACUGAGGAGCGAAAGCAUGUGGAGCGAACAGGAUUAGAUACCCUGGUAGUCCAUG
rnacentral:rRNA from 1 species